rnacentral:rRNA from 1 species
UACGGGGGGAGCAAGCGUUGUUCGGAUUUACUGGGCGUAAAGGGCGCGUAGGCGGCCACUGCAAGUCGGUUGUGAAAUCUCCGGGCUUAACCCGGAAAGGUCAAUCGAUACUGCAGUGCUAGAGUGUGGAAGGGGCAAUCGGAAUUCUUGGUGUAGCGGUGAAAUGCGUAGAUAUCAAGAGGAACACCUGAGGUGAAGACGGGUUGCUGGGCCAACACUGACGCUGAGGCGCGAAAGCCAGGGGAGCAAACGGG